rnacentral:rRNA from 1 species
UACAGAGGGUGCGAGCGUUAAUCGGAAUUACUGGGCGUAAAGCGUGCGUAGACGGUUAUUUAAGUCGGAUGUGAAAGCCCCGGGCUCAACCUGGGAAUUGCAUUCGAGACUGAAUAGCUAGGGUGCGGUAGAGGGAAGCGGAAUUUCCGGUGUAGCGGUGAAAUGCGUAGAUAUCGGAAGGAACAUCAGUGGCGAAAGCGGCUUCCUGGACCAGCACCGACGUUCAGGCACGAAGGCCCAGGGGAGCAAACGGG